rnacentral:rRNA from 1 species
CCUACGGGAGGCAGCAGUGGGGAAUAUUGGACAAUGAGGGGAACCCUGAUCCAGCCAUGCCGCGUGUGUGAAGAAGGCCCUCGGGUUGUAAAGCACUUUCAGUGAGGAAGAACGCCUGGUGGUUAAUACCCAGCAGGAAAGACAUCACUCACAGAAGAAGCACCGGCUAACUCCGUGCCAGCAGCCGCGGUAAUACGGAGGGUGCGAGCGUUAAUCGGAAUUACUGGGCGUAAAGCGCGCGUAGGUGGCUUGAUAAGCCGGUUGUGAAAGCCCCGGGCUCAACCUGGGAACGGCAUCCGGAACUGUCAAGCUAGAGUGCAGGAGAGGAAGGUAGAAUUCCCGGUGUAGCGGUGAAAUGCGUAGAGAUCGGGAGGAAUACCAGUGGCGAAGGCGGCCUUCUGGACUGACACUGACACUGAGGUGCGAAAGCGUGGGUAGCAAACAGGAUUAGAUACCCCUGUAGUC